rnacentral:rRNA from 1 species
AGCGAACGCUGGCGGCAGGUCUAACACAUGCAAGUCGAACGAAGCCUUCGGGCUUAGUGGCGGACGGGUGAGUAACACGUGGGAACGUACCCUUUGGUUCGGAACAACUCAGGGAAACUUGAGCUAAGACCGGAUGAGCCCUUAGGGGGAAAGAUUUAUCGCCGAAAGAGCGGCCCGCGUUAGAUUAGCUAGUUGGUGAGGUAAAGGCUCACCAAGGCAACGAUCUAUAGCUGGUCUGAGAGGAUGAUCAGCCACACUGGGACUGAGACACGGCCCAGACUCCUACGGGAGGCGGCAGUGGGGAAUCUUGCGCAAUGGGCGAAAGCCUGACGCAGCCAUGCCGCGUGAAUGAUGAAGGUCUUAGGAUUGUAAAAUUCUUUUACCAGGGACGAUAAUGACGGUACCUGGAGAAAAAGCCCCGGCUAACUUCGUGCCAGCAGCCGCAGUAA